rnacentral:rRNA from 1 species
UACGUAGGGUCCGAGCGUUGUCCGGAAUUACUGGGCGUAAAGAGCUCGUAGGUGGUUUGUCGCGUUGUUCGUGAAAACUCACAGCUCAACUGUGGGCGUGCGGGCGAUACGGGCGGACUUGAGUACUGCAGGGGAGACUGGAAUUCCUGGUGUAGCGGUGGAAUGCGCAGAUAUCAGGAGGAACACCGGUGGCGAAGGCGGGUCUCUGGGCAGUAACUGACGCUGAGGAGCGAAAGCGUGGGGAGCGAACAGG